GACGAACGCUGGCGGCGUGCUUAACACAUGCAAGUCGAGCGGUAAGGGCCCCUUCGGGGGUACACGAGCGGCGAAACGGGUGAGUAACACGUGAGUAACCCUCGCCCCCCACAUUGGGACGUAAACCCCGGGGAAACCCGGGGACGUAACUACCGAAUACGACCACUCAAGGCAUCUCGAGUGGUGGAAGCUCCGGCGGUGGAGGAUGGACUCGCGGCCUAUCAGCUUGUUGGUGAGGUAACCGG
rnacentral:rRNA from 1 species